AGUUCGAUCCUGGCUCAGAUUGAACGCUGGCGGAUGCUUUACACAUGCAAGUCGAACGGGCAGCACGGACUUCGGUCUGGUGUGGCGAGUGGCGAACGGGUGAGUAAUGUAUCGGAACGCCUAGUAGCGGGGGAUAACUACGCGAAAGUGUAGCUAAUACCGGUAUACGCCCUUCGGGGGAAAGCGGGGGGACCUCGGGCCUCGCACUAUUAGGAGCGGCUGAUAUCGACAGCUAGUUGCGGGGUAACGGCUCACCAUGACGAUCCGUAGCUGGCUUGAGAGGACGACCAGCCACACUGGGACUGGAGACGGCCCAGACUCCUACGGGAGGCAGCAGUGGGGAAUUUUGGACAAUGGGGGAAACCCUGAUCCAGCCAUCCUGCGUAAGAUGAAGGCCUUCGGUUGUAAAGCACUUGGCAGGAAGAAACGGCACGGAUGAUGCAACUGCAACUGACGGUACCUGCAGAAUAAGGCACCGGCCAACUACGUGCCAGCAGCCGCGGUAAUACGUAGGGUGCAAGCGUUAACGGAAUUACUGGGCGCAAGCGUGCGCAGGCGGUUCUGGAAAGAAAGAUGUGAAAUCCCAGAGCUAAUCUUCUUGGAACUGCAUUUUUAACUACCGAGCUAGAGUGUGUCAGAGGGGAGGUGGAAUUCCGCGUGUAGCAGUGAAAUGCGGUAGAUGGAGGAACACCGAUGGCGAAGGCAGCCUCCUGGGAUAACACUGACGCUCAUGCACGAAAGCGUGGGGAGCAAACAGGAUUAGAUACCCUGGUAGUCCACGCCCCAAACGAUGUCAAUCCGCUGUUGGGGCCUUCGGGCCUGGUAGCGCAGCGAAUGCGUGAAGUUGACCGCCUGGGGAGUACGGUCGCAAGAUUAAAACUCAAAGGAAUUGACGGGGACCCGCACAAGCGGUGGAUGAUGUGAUUGAACGAUGCAACGCGAAAACCUUACCUACCUUGACAUUAAGUCGAAUCCUGAAGAGAUCGGGAGUGCCUUCGCAAGAGAACCGGAACACAGGUGCUGCAUGGCUGUCGUCAGCUCGGUCGUGAGAUGCCAGUUAAGUCCCAACGAGCGCAACCUUGUCAUUAUUGCUACGAAAGGGCACUCUGCACGAGACUGCCGGUGACAAACCGGAGGAAGGUGGGGAUGACGCUGCCUCUCAUGAUUUUAGCAGUAGGGCUUCAUCGUCAUACAAUGGUCGGGACAGAGGGUCGCCAACCCGCGAGGGGGAGCCAAACCCGAAACCCCGAUCAGUCCGGACGCAGUCUGCAACUCGACUGCGUGAAGUCGGAAUCGCUAGUAAUCGCGGAUCGUCGCGGUGAACAUGCCCGUAUCUGUACACACCGCCCGUCACACCAUGGGAGUGGGUUUUACCAGAAGUAGUUAGCCUUAACCCGGUGCGAGGGCGAUUACCACGGUAGGAUCUUAUGACUGGGUGAAGUCGUAACAAGGUAG
rnacentral:rRNA from 1 species